rnacentral:rRNA from 1 species
CCCUUAGAUGUUCUGGGCCGCACGCGUGCUACACUGAGUGGAUCAGCGGGUCAGGUUACGCGAGAGCGUUUCCUAAUCUUCAAAUCCGCUCGUGAUGGGGAUUGACGGUUGCAAUUUUCCGUCAUGAACGAGGAAUACCUUGUAAGCGCGGGUCAUCAUCCCGCGCUGAAUACGUCCCUGCCCUUUGUACACACCGCCCGUCGCUACUACCGAUUGAACGUUUUAGUGAGGCAUUUGGACCGACGCAUCUCAGUUUAACCGCUGGUUUGUGUUGGAAAGACUUCCAAACUUGAGCGUUUAGAGGAAGUAAAAGUCGUAACA